UACGGGAGGCAGCAGUGGGGAAUAUUGCACAAUGGGCGCAAGCCUGAUGCAGCCAUGCCGCGUGUAUGAAGAAGGCCUUCGGGUUGUAAAGUACUUUCAGUCGUGAGGAAGGUGUUAAGGUUAAUAACCUUAGCAAUUGACGUUAGCGACAGAAGAAGCACCGGCUAACUCCGUGCCAGCAGCCGCGGUAAUACGGAGGGUGCGAGCGUUAAUCGGAAUUACUGGGCGUAAAGGGCACGUAGGCGGUUAAUAAGUUGGAUGUGAAAUCCCCGGGCUUAACCUGGGAAUGGCAUUCAAGACUGGUUAGCUAGAGUCUUGUAGAGGGGGUAGAAUUCCAUGUGUAGCGGUGAAAUGCGUAGAGAUGUGGAGGAAUACCGGUGGCGAAGGCGGCCCCUGGACAAAGACUGACGCUCAUGUGCGAAAGCGUGGGGAGCAAACAGGGAUUAGAUACC
rnacentral:rRNA from 1 species